rnacentral:misc_RNA from 1 species
AGAAUGAAUACUAAAGAGGAUCCUGGCAUUUUCUUCACCUACAACCUGAACUAAGAAAAGUAAAAGCACACAACUAGUAUGUCCGCUACAGUACAAAUGACAACAAUUCUACAUGUAUACCGUUCUACACCACCAUGCUUCCGAAAACAAUAAUUCCCAAUAUCUUAAUUACAUGCAGGAAAAACCUUUAAUACAUCAACGACCAAACUUCUUGACUCAACAUACAACAUUACUCCGCACAAAUCUUAAAUGUCGAACACCAUUCGGCGACAUCAUUGCUCCUUUGGUCUACUCCUCACUUUAUCCCAACUAGAAAGUAUUAACCUCAAGAGAGAAUAGAACACGGCCAGAAUGCAUGACUUUAUAAAGUUCCAAAAUGAAGAAGGCCAAUACCAAGGAUACAGCAAACGGAAAAAGAGACUUAUAAUAUGCCGAGGGUAUCGUCCGACAGGAUAUAGCAAAUCUAAUGCAUCCCAUGCUGCAUGGCGGACAGCUCUUGUUGGGUACAUGGGAGCACCUGGUGACGUGAAGCUACUAGUACAAGAUUGAAAACUUGCUUGUAUAGCUUCACGUCACCAGG